rnacentral:rRNA from 1 species
UACGUAGGGAGCGAGCGUUAUCCGGAUUUAUUGGGUGUAAAGGGUGCGUAGUCGGGUAAUCAAGUUAGUUGUGAAAUCCCUCGGCUCGACUGAGGAACUGCAACUAAAACUGGUUGUCUUGAGUCCGGAAGAGGAGAGUGGAAUUCCCGGGGUAGCGGUGAAAUGCGCAGAUAUCGGGAAGAACACCCGUGGCGAAGGCGGCUCUCUGGGACGGUACUGACGCUGAGACGCGAAAGCGUGGGGAGCAAACAGG